rnacentral:lncRNA from 1 species
ACUGCUCUCCAAAAUCCAAACAAACACACCAUUAAUUAAAAAAAAAAAAAGGUAAAUUUCAAAUACCACUUCUGUAGUUUCGCGCGUUCUCAUUUUAGUAUCUUGUGUUUUAAAGUGUGUCAAGUUAGUAUCCUGUGAUUUCAUUUCAUUUUUAUCUUUUCGUCAGCUUUUUCGUUAAUAUUUCGUUAAAUUAUAUACAAAAACUUCAAACCUCUUAUCUGGGUUUAUCAAAUAUUCACUCAAAUACUCUUUAAUUUUAACUUUAUCACUGAUUUAACGAAAGAAGUUAGUAAAAUCGAUAAUAAAAAGAUAAAAAUAAAAUCACAGGACACUAAAUUGAUACACUUUAAACUAUAAGCUACUAAAGUGAGAAAGUAUGUAAUCACAGGAAUGGUAUUUAAAAUUUUCCCCCUAAAAAAAAAAAAUACU